UACAGAGGGUGCAAGCGUUGUUCGGAAUUACUGGGCGUAAAGCGUGCGUAGUCGGUAUUGAGAGUCGCGGGUGAAAUCCCAGGGCUUAACCCUGGAACUGCCUGCGAGACCUCAGUACUAGAGUGUGAGAGGGGAUAGUGGAAUACCCAGUGUAGCGGUGAAAUGCGCAGAUAUCGGGAAGAACACCUAUGGCGAAGGCAGCUCUCUGGGACGGUACUGACGCUGAGACGCGAAAGCGUGGGGAGCAAACAGG
rnacentral:rRNA from 1 species